UACGGAGGGAGCUAGCGUUGUUCGGAAUUACUGGGCGUAAAGCGCGCGUAGGCGGCUUUGUAAGUUAGAGGUGAAAGCCCGGGGCUCAACCCCGGAACUGCCUUUAAGACUGCAUCGCUUGAAUCCGGGAGAGGUGAGUGGAAUUCCGAGUGUAGAGGUGAAAUUCGUAGAUAUUCGGAAGAACACCAGUGGCGAAAGGCGGCUCACUGGACCGGGUAUUGACGCUGAGGUGCGAAAGCGUGGGGAGCAAACAGGG
rnacentral:rRNA from 1 species